CCGCUUCACCAGAUGAAAUUAACAUGUCUACGAGACGCGCCCUACACUUAGCGGUUGGCCACAGACCUGUGACAACCAGAGAGCCCUAUGGGAUUAACUAACUUACCUGAACCUCUAGUUAUGUCGGGGGUAAAUACAACUGUUCGAGAUCUCGCUAAAGAGACAGCAACCAUAGGCUGGAACACAGUGUCCUUGGGUUUUAGAAAUGAUCCGGAAAUAGAAUGACAAUCCCUGUGCAGGAGAGCUGCGAAACAGAUGAUGUCCCAGGUCAACAAAGUCCAUGCAUCGUCAUCCAGAUGCAGGCGGAUUAAAUUUUGGCUUCGCAGAAAGCCAAAACUUCGAAUUUAAGCCCUAGUCUGGGACUAACAGGAGCUAGAAUGGCCCAAGCCGGUAAAUGCGGCAUAGG
rnacentral:sRNA from 2 species